CAAAGAGCCAUGAAUUUAGCUUUAUCACUUGAUUUCACCUCUUGACACUAUUUACAGCUGUUUUCUGUUUGUACAUGCUGCCUUUUCCAGUACCACGCUGAGUAUUGUUAUCCCGAUAGUUCUUUCGUCUCAGUCCGUGUGUAUUCCUGGGCGAAUGUGCUCGUGUGGUCUCAGGAGUUGCGGAGGUCACGGCUCUGGGACAGCCGUUUCAUCGCCCUAUGCUGCAGGUAAAAAGCAAUGAAAGUGCCGUUAAUUUUUUGCACGGCGAGCUGCUGCAUACUAACCGGUCUCACACCAUUACCAACACCUUGCCCUUGUGAAGGCAGAUAUGGAUAAGGUUCUCAAAGCUGAUAGAAGAUUGAAACCACUCUAAUCCUGUGACGAUGAACCUGCCCCGGAAGAGAGAGCCCAAAGAAUUGCCAAAGCUGUCCGCAAACAGUCAAUAGAAGUGAAGGAAAAUUGGGAACAACUGAAAAUCCGUGCGAGCAACUGGCAGAAACAGGUGGAAAAGGCGUUGGAGAAACUUCAAGAACUGCAGAAAGUUCUGGAUGAUCUUGAGGCUCAUGUGAUAACAGCUGAGGGGGUCCACACUGAUUGGCAACCUGUGAGUGACCUGCUUAUUGACUCAUUGCAGGAUCACUUUGAUAAAACCACAGGUCAGGACUAUCUUCAAAAUCUGAGAUUGGGUUUUGAAAGACAGCAGCCUUUGUUUUGGAGAGAUAAUGGGAACUGCAGAUGCUGGAGAAUGCGAGAUAACAACGUGUGGAGCUGGAUGAAGACAGCAGGCCAAGCAGCAUCUGAGCAGCUUUCCUGGAGCAAGUCUGUUUUCCUUCGGAUGAGACGACUUUCAGACAUACUCCCUUUAUUAUGAGAUUUAAUUGCGGUAAAAUGAGGAGGAUUUUUAUUCACUGAGACACACAUGACUAUAUGUUGAAAGCAUUGGAAAAAGCGUUCUGUUCGGACUGUCAUGUUAUCUGGUGUUUGUACCAGGCUUUCCGAUGAAAUGCAAGUGAUUAAGGAUGCUACUGAUGCCACAUGUUAUUACAAGAGGAAAUGAACAUACAAGUAAGGAUUUUAUGCCACAUUUAUACAUAGCAUGGGCCAUGCAGCGUGGAUGCAGUG